AGAGUUUGAUUAUGGCUCAGGAUGAACGCUGGCGGCGUGCUUAACACAUGCAAGUCGAACGAGGUCCAACCUUCGGGUGAAGACCGAGUGGCGAACGGGUGAGUAACACGUGGGGAACCUGCCCUUCUCUCUGGGAUAACCUCGGGAAACCGAAGCUAAUACCGGAUACUCCUUGCGGACCGCAUGGUCUGCUCGGGAAAGCUCCGGCGGAGAAGGAUGGCCCCGCGGCCCAUUAGCUUGUUGGUGGGGUAACGGCCCACCAAGGCGACGAUGGGUAGCCGAGCUGAGAGGCUGAUCGGCCACACUGGGACUGAGACACGGCCCAGACUCCUACGGGAGGCAGCAGUGGGGAAUCUUGCGCAAUGGGCGAAAGCCUGACGCAGCAACGCCGCGUGCGGGAUGAAGGCUCUCGGGUCGUAAACCGCUUUCAGCAGGGAUGAAAAUGACAGUACCUGCAGAAGAAGCCCCGGCUAAAUACGUGCCAGCAGCCGCGGUAAUACGUAUGGGGCAAGCGUUAUCCGGAUUCAUUGGGCGUAAAGCGCGCGUAGGCGGCUUGUUAAGUCAGGCGUGAAAUCCGGGGGCUCAACCCGCGGCUUGCGUCUGAAGCUGGCAGGCUUGAGUCUGGUAGAGGAAAGUGGAAUUCCUGGUGUAGCGGUGAAAUGCGCAGAUAUCAGGAGGAACACCAGUGGCGAAGGCGGCUUUCUGGGCCACGACUGACGCUGAGGCGCGAAAGCUAGGGGAGCGAACAGGAUUAGAUACCCUGGUAGUC
rnacentral:rRNA from 1 species